rnacentral:rRNA from 1 species
UACGUAGGGUGCGAGCGUUAAUCGGAAUUACUGGGCGUAAAGCGUGCGCAGGCGGUUUUGUAAGACAGGUGUGAAAUCCCCGGGCUUAACCUGGGAACUGCAUUUGUGACUGCAAGGCUAGAGUAUGGCAGAGGGGGGUAGAAUUCCACGUGUAGCAGUGAAAUGCGUAGAGAUGUGGAGGAAUACCGAUGGCGAAGGCAGCCCCCUGGGUCAAUACUGACGCUCAUGCACGAAAGCGUGGGGAGCAAACAGG